GUCAACGAUCAUACCAUGUUGAAUAUACCGGUUCUCGUCCGAUCACCGAAGUCAAGCAACAUCGGGCGUGGGUAGUACUUAGAUGGGAGACCGCUUGGGAACACACACGUAUCGUUGACU